rnacentral:rRNA from 1 species
GAUGAACGCUGGCGGCGUGCCUAAUACAUGCCAGUCGAGCGAACGGACGAGAAGCUUGCUUCUCUGAUGUUAGCGGCGGACGGGUGAGUAACACGUGGAUAACCUACCUAUAAGACUGGGAUAACUUCGGGAAACCGGAGCUAAUACCGGAUGAUAUUUUGAACCGCAUGGUUCAAAAGUGAAAGACGGUCUUGCUGUCACUUAUAGAUGGAUCCGCGCUGCAUUAGCUAGUUGGUAAGGUAACGACUUACCAAGGCAACGAUGCAUAGCCGACCUGAGAGGGUGAUCGGCCACACUGGAACUGAGACACGGUCCAGACUCCUACGGGAGGCAGCAGUAGGGAAUCUUCCGCAAUGGGCGAAAGCCUGACGGAGCAACGCCGCGUGAGUGAUGAAGGUCUUCGGAUCGUAAAACUCUGUUAUUAGGGAAGAACAUAUGUGUAAGUAACUGUGCACAUCUUGACGGUACCUAAACAGAAAGCCACGGCUAACUACGUG